ACAGCCGCGCACGUAGUCUGCGCAUGUUCCGGUUUUGUGUUGAACAGGCAAAGUAUCACCGCUCCGUAUUUUAAACUGCUAACUACACACCUAUACUUCAGGAACUAUUACUACUAUGUGGAUGUAAGCAAAGUGUUCUCAUUCCCUCUUGGAUGUGUGCAGCCAGUGAGGUACGUUUUGUUUAAGGGCUUGUUAUAUCUGCUCGACGGCACGGACAGCUAACUGGGAUAGCGAGUGGAGCUAGCGGCUGCCGGAUGGAGCAGCCAGUCAGCCAGCUUGCUAACUACACACCGGUGCUUACGUCCACAUGUACUCAACGAAGUGGAAACGCCUUUGACGAUGCCACGUGCAAAGUCAUGCCACCAUCAAUGGGAAUGGCACAUUGGACACGUGGCUUUCAACUCCAGCGAGGUGGCGGCACGGAUCUCUGCAUGUCUGACUGACAUCUCCCAGUGGAUGUCCGCCCAUCACCUGAAGAUCAACCCCGACAAGACUGAACUACUUCUCUUCCCUGGAAAAAACUCGCCCACUCAGGACCUGACUGUUAACUUUGGCGAACACCGUUAACAUCAGGAGAAUACGACCCCUUCUCACUCAGAAGGCGGCGCAGGUACAGAUUCAGGCUCUUGUCAUCUCUCGCCUCGACUACUGUAACUCUCUGCUGGCGGGUCUCCCUGCUACCGCCAUACGACCACUGCAGCUCAUCCAGAAUGCAGCAGCUCGACUGGUCUUCAACCUUCUGAAAUACUCCCACACCACACCGCUUCUCCGUUCUCUUCAUUGGUUACUAGUGGCUCCCCGCAUCCAGUUCAAAGCAUUGGUACUGACGUACCACGCUGUGAAUGGAUCGGGACCAGUCUACAUCCGGGACAUGGUUAAACCCUACAUCCCAACCCACACACUCCGAUCUGCAUCUGCCACGCUGCUUGUUCCUCCCUCACUGAGAGAAAAGCACUCGACGAGAUCGCGACUCUUUGCUGUCCUGGCUCCCAGAUGGUGGAACGAGCUCUCUGAUGACAUCAGGACUGCAGAGAGCCUCUACAUCUUCCGUCGAAAACUCAAGACACACCUUUUUAGACUCUACCUUGACUAAAACACUAGCAAACCGUAGCACUAACAAAUGGUAGCACUUAAAUUGUACUUAUAAUGCCACUUAUCUUUAACAUGUUUUGAAACUGCUUAGUUAAUGAAAAAUGUACUUUCUUGUUACUUGUUCUUCUGAGUUUGUAUCUCUAUGUGGAAAUGCACUUAUUGUACGUCGCUUUGGAUAAAAGCGUCAGCUAAAUGACAUGUAAUGUAAAAGCCUUCUUCCUGUGUUCUUACAACAGCAUUCCAUUACAUAUCGAUGUAAUAAUUUGGCCUUCUUUUUUUCUUCCAGCACACGGCACAGGUUGGCGUCACAAUCAUGGCAAAGUUGACUGGACCACAGCGGAAAAUUAUCCUUC